CAUUAUCGAGAUCGAACCUCUGGAGGGGGGAGGGAGAGAGUCCUCGCGUCGCUCUCUCGAACCUUUCCGAGGCUUCAGCCCUCUGACACCCGUGUGCACCCACUGUAGGUCCUUGGGGACCUAUGUCUUCUUCGAACUCGCAUGUCUACAGAAUGUCGUCCGUGGCCUCGGUCACAGUGAACCUUAUACAACUUUCAGCAAUGGAUCUCUUGGCUCUCGCAUCGAUGAAGGACGCAGCGAAUCGCGAUAAGUAAUGUGAAUUGCAGAUUUUCCGUGAAUCAUCGAAUCUUUGAACGCACCUUGCGCUCCUUGGUAUUCCGAGGAGCAUGCCUGUUUGAGUGUCAUCGAAAUAUCAAAUCGAAGCUUUCGACCUCGUCGGAGCCCGGUUUGGAUAUGGGAGUCUGCGGGCGGAACCCCUCCUGUCGGAGGGACGUCGGCUCUCCUCAAAAGCAUCAGUGUUGGGUGCGAGCCUUGCAUGGCACGGCCUCUUCGACGUCGUAAUGACCGUCGUGGGCUGGAAGUGUGUGGAUCGAAGAUGCCCGUCGCUUUCCAACUUUGCGAGCCCGGUCUGUCCGGCCGCAUGUCAUCGAAGCUUGACCUCAAAUCAGGUAGGACUACCCGCUGAACUU
rnacentral:rRNA from 1 species